rnacentral:tRNA from 1 species
GCUUCCGUAGCUCAGCUGGAUAGAGCAAUGCCCUUCUAAGGCAGAGGUCAAAGGUUCGAAUCCUUUCGGGAGCACCA